GAUGAACGCUGGCGGCGUGCCUAAUACAUGCAAGUCGAGCGAACAGACGAGGAGCUUGCUCCUUUGACGUUAGCGGCGGACGGGUGAGUAACACGUGGGUAACCUACCUAUAAGACUGGGAUAACUUCGGGAAACCGGAGCUAAUACCGGAUAAUAUUUCGAACCGCAUGGUUCGAUAGUGAAAGAUGGCUUUGCUAUCACUUAUAGAUGGACCUGCGCCGUAUUAGCUAGUUGGUAAGGUAACGGCUUACCAAGGCAACGAUACGUAGCCGACCUGAGAGGGUGAUCGGCCACACUGGAACUGAGACACGGUCCAGACUCCUACGGGAGGCAGCAGUAGGGAAUCUUCCGCAAUGGGCGAAAGCAUGACGGAGCAACGCCGCGUGAGUGAUGAAGGUCUUCGGAUCGUAAAACUCUGUUAUUAGGGAAGAAUAAACGUGUAAGUAACUGUGCACGUCUUGACGGGACCUAAUCAGAAAGCCACGGCUAACUACGU
rnacentral:rRNA from 1 species